GUUAGUGACGAUAGUAGCAGCACCCGUAUCUGCAUAUGGGUGUAUGUGCAUAUCCAUCAGUGGCCUCAGUCUUCAUUUUCAUACAGUCUUCCGCCGUCUUGCAGGAACCUGAAACAUACUUAAGUGUUAAUUAGUUUUAAAGUCAGACACUUGACCAGCAUCUCGGAGACAGCUGCGACAAGAAGUUUGCCGAGAGAAUCACCAUGAGAGCUGUAUGCCUGACUGUGCUGCUGUUGACAGCUUUACUUGUUUUACCAAGUGAACAGAUGCCCAAAAGUAAGCUAACACGCGACAUGUCGUGUAUCCUACAUGGUCAAUGCCGGAAGUCACACGACUGCCAGGGCUACUCCAAGGACAAGCACAGAGUAACAUGCAGGAAGGGAUGCUGCAUCUAUUUUUACUGACCUCACACCAUCCUACCUACUCUGGUUGAAAAAAGGAUCUGGACUUUUUUUUUUAACCAAAUUUUAUUUCUUAACCUGCUUAGGUUCAAAAAAAUAAAUUAAAAUAAAAUCCUAAGUAAAAACUGA